GUGAAAUGUCCUGUUAAGUCAGGCAACGAGCGAGACCCCCACCCCUAGUUGGUAAUCCGGUCUCCGGACCGGAUCCACACUAGGGGGACUGCCAGCGUAAGCUGGAGGAAGGAGGGGGCCACGGCAGGUCAGCAUGCCCCGAAACCCCUGGGCCGCACGCGGGUUACAAUGGCAGGGACAACGGGAUCCCACCCCGAAAGGGGGAGGCAAUCCCUUAAACCCUGCCGCAGUUGGGAUCGAGGGCUGAAACUCGCCCUCGUGAACGAGGAAUCCCUAGUAACCGCACGUCAACAACGUGCGGUGAAUACGUCCCUGCUCCUUGCACUCACCGCCCGUCGCUCCACCCGAGUAGGAAAAGGGUGAGGCUCCUUGCCAUCGGGUGGGGAGUCGAACCCUUUUCCUGCGAGGGGGGAGAAGUCGUAACAAGGUAGCCGUAGAGGAACCUGCGGCUGGAUCACCUCACAU
rnacentral:rRNA from 1 species